ACACAUACAUGCAUGCAUAGGAAGUUCAAUAUUCAGAUUCAUUCAAAAAACAGGAGACAUUAGAAAUUACAGAAAAAAUAAUACAUACGUAUAAAAGAACAUAGCAACAGGCUUGUUUGUUUUGAGGAAGUUCAAUAUUCAGAUUCAGUCAAAAAACAGGAGCAAUUAAAAUUUACAGAAUAAAUAGUACAUGCAUGCAUGCAUAUAUACAUAGAGAGAACACUGGUCACCUUCUUCCAACCAUUUGCCUUCUAUUUCUUCUAUUAUUAAUGAUGAAAAAUAAAUAUAUAAUAUGGCAUGACUUUAGUAUAAGUUCCACCACUAUAUGUUCCUUGUACCCCUUUCAACUCAAAGCCCGCAAUCAUCAAAAUCCUAGCGAUUUCAAGCACCAGACUCAAUAUUCUGAAUUAUAAGAUAACCAUGUAUAAACCGCAAUAACCUAAAAGCAGGUAACUGAGCAGAAACCUAAAAAAUACAAUCACCAAAAGUAACUUACAUUUGCAAUAAGAUAAACAAAAUCAUAAAAAUAUUGUAAUAAAA
rnacentral:lncRNA from 1 species